GGGGAUGUGACUCAGCGGUAGAGCACUCGCCUUGCACGUGUGAGGCCCUGGGUUCAAUCCUCAGCCCCA
rnacentral:tRNA from 1 species